rnacentral:tRNA from 1 species
GGCGAGAUAGCUCAGCAGGUAGAGCAGCGGCCUGAAAAGCCGUGUGUCCCCAGUUCGAUUCUGGGUUUCGCCACCA